CGAGGGUGGGAAAUACUCAUACACGCACGCGCAGACAUACGGAGAGGGUGUGCGCGCUUCUCAACGACGAAGGUGACGCGCCGUGGAAGCACUGCCUUUUCUGAUGCAGCAUCAAUCCCUGGCGGCUCGGCGGCGGGACCGCAGGCUGGCCCGCAGGGACGAAUCUGCGUUUUGGUGCAGACUGCUGAAGCGGUGCCUACCCUGUCGUGCCCUGCGAUGGAAGAGCGUUCACGCGACGAGCCGCACCAGGCGCAUCCUCAUGGGCAUCCUGCUCUGCCUCAUCGCCACCCUCAUCCUCCUCAUUGGUCUUGUGGUGUGUCUCACCUGGAAGAGCAACCGCAGCAACACCCCACUCGAGCCUGCCGCGGCGCAGUCGACGCACGCGCCUCGGGUGCCACCAGAGGUGGGUGUGCACGACCCUUGGGCCGAAGACCCCGUCGACGUCGCCGUUAUCCGGCAGCGGGAGGAGGCGAUGGUUCGGAAGUGGAGAGAGAACGGCUUUCGCCCUACCUACUGGGAGGUCGAGCGACGCACCCUACCGCGACUAACGAAGAGGGCCUUGGAGUCGUGGUUUGAGCACGGAAGGCGCGCGGCGGCGUCCGCCACGGCGGUGGAUGUUGCAGAGGAUGUGCUGAUGGCGCAUGCCUGGGACGCUGUCGACGGCGGCGACGCAGACGCCGACCUCUUUGACAGCCUCGCCUUUCUCUACCCACCAGCGCAGCAGAGGCAGUACUACCGCGCGGCGAUGGACGCGAUUCUGCGCCAGGGCCCUCGCGUCGGAGGCACGAAGCGCGACGCCCUUCUCCAUCACUUAGUCGAUGAGGGACUCGGACGUCGACGGUACGACGCUGCACGGCACGCCUACCACCCAGCACCGCCGCACCUCAGCCCGCGUGGGAAGGAACUGCUGGAAAAGGCGGCCGCCUCGUGGCCAGAUGCACCGCACCUGGCUGCCGCGCAGCAAGACGAGGUUGCGGGCCGUGAACCGGGAUGGCGGUGGUCCCUGAGUUGGGACAACUUCACGGCCGACAUUCCAAUACGCAUCGAGGGCAGCUCGCGCGUCGAGAUGCAGAACCUCGUCUUUCAGUUCCCCGGCGGGUCGCAGUUUCGUCGCAAGCAGGCCGCAGCCGCAUCAGCGGCAGCAACUGGUGCAAAGGAUGCACUCGACGAGUUCGUCGGUGGCGUGCCAAACCGCCGGCGCACCCGCGCUGACGAUCGCAAGGAGGUACUCGAAGCUGAAUACCACCCGGCCGACAUGACAGGAGAGACCGUCUACACACAGGAGAACUUCCUGCAGUGGGCACAGGACGGCGUCCCGUUUAACCCUCGCCCUGCGCUGGAGCGCGGGGUGCCUGGCACGCGGGUCGUCCUGUCACCGGAUGCGAAGGGGGCGCGGGUGCCGCUGAAGCCGAGUCUGUCCGCGCAGGCCGCCGAACCGGCGACGCAGCAGCCCAUGAAGCACGCCGUGCUUGCCGCACACUGGGACUCGAAGUACUUCGCAGACCUCCCCUUCCUCGCCGCCUGCGACUCCGCCAUGCCGGUGGUGUUCCUCCUGCGGACCAUCAAGAACAUCGCCGUUUUGACCGAUGUGGCGGAGGCGUUGACGGAGUCGUACAAGGCCGAGCGGUCUGGCGCAUUGGGCGGCGACGCGGCCGCCGCCGUUCCCGGGCUCACGAGCACGUUCCGCAACGCCACGACGGAGGCUGAAGUGAGAGAGCGGCUGGCGUCACUCCUCUCACCAGCCCAUCAUGCGCUCCUGUACCAGUACUUCUUCGCGCGCCCCUACAGCGUCGGCGAUGAGCAACAGAACUUAGUAGCGGCAGGUAUGCGAAACCAUCCGACAAAGGUGGAGGUAGACGUACGCACGUGGCUGGACUGGGUGCAGCACCUGCCCAUCAUCUCCGUCAUCCUCUUCGACGGCGAGGAGGCGUACAAGCACUGGUCCGGGGACGACAACACGUAUGGGUCGCGGCACCUGGCGCAGCGGUGGCGCAGCACCCCCUCCGUGAUGCGGACGCGCUACGCUGAGGGCCCACAGUCCCUCUACGACUCGGUCGACCUCUUUGCCCUCUACGACCUCAUGGGCCCGGCAGGGACAACGUUCAGCAAUAUGUACCCGACGCAGAGCGGCAUCUUCUACGCGGGGCUAUCGCAGCGCGAGUGGGAGCUUCGCCAUCGAGCGAUGAAACACAGCUCGGCGAUCUCCGCGGAGCUCCUGUGGCGGUACCACGAGGCCACCGCAUUGCCGCCGGCGGAGGCGCGCGGGAAGACAGACCCCUUUCUCCGCCUCCUCGGCCCCUCACCACAUGAAGCAGUCGCAUCCAUCAACACUGCCUACACUCGACGGCUGCUGGCGAACAACGCAUCGCGCCCAUCAGUGGCGUCACUCCCGCGGUCGUGGCUGAUGUACGGUUCGCCGCACGAGAUGCUUACGCUGCACAGCGUCGCUCGCACCACCCACGACGUCAGGUUCGUGGAAAACUUUGAUCAGCUGCGGGUAUACGACAGGCUGGACCGGGAGAUUGCCGCCGAGAGCAGCUUCGAUGCGGAACGCUACCUGAACACCAUCAACCACAACAUCUUCUUCUCUCCGUCUCAACAGGAGGACCUGCGCCGCAACCGAGACGUCUUCGUCGCUGAGGAUGACCACAAGCACUGGCUGGACACGCAGCGGGUGCUGCAUCUUAUUCCCGUCCCGUUCCCCAAGUCAUGGCACACGGCGAACGACGACGGCAGCAACGUGCACGAUGGAACGUCGACGGACCUGUCAGGGCUGUUAUGGUCUACGGUACUAGAGCUGGGCGACUACUGGACGCGUAAAGAAUGAGGCAGAUACAAGAGGUGGAAGCGGCGAGGAAUGGUGAGAGGUUCGCGUGUGCGCAAGGGGAGAAGGGGGAGCACGAGGGACUUCACGCCCGUGGUAAUAUGCCCGGUCGCACGUCGUCGCUUAUAUAUAUAUAUAUAUAUAUAUCAAUGCUGCCUCACAGCUGUUGUGUGUGUGCGUGUCAUCGCGCGCUCUUCUAGUGGUGACUCGCGUUUUAUUCGUCUUGUUUUCCCUCCCGUAAUGCAUCUCCCCUCCCUCCCACGCGGCUCCUCCGCGUCGCAUGAGUUCACCGCCAGUAUGAUCCGCUACACGUGCGCGUGUGCAUCAAGGAGAUGCAAAGUCGACCUUCGUUUUUCGCCUUCCACCGCCGUCGCGUCGCUUCGCCUGUGCGUGUGUGUAGUCAUACUUGCACGACACCAUGGCUUUUCCCCUCUCCUCUUUUCUGCAUCCCUCAUGACGGGGAGGGGGGAACACCUCAGCGCGGUAUCCAGGCACCAGUACCCACCACUCUCUGUGGGGAGGUGAGGGCGAUGUAUUGUUACCGAUGCCCGCGGCCAGGGCCUCGAUGGCGUUGGGUUGAGGGAGGGGAGGGGAGGGCUUGCGACAGUGAACACGUUUGUACCAUCCGGAUGAUGGGUAGAGAGAGUAUCAGGCGCGACUCGAGUGCAUCCCACCCGGUCCUCAGUGCCAGCAGGGUGGGGAGGGUGGAGCCACUCCGAGAGGCACACCAGGCGGUGACCUUCGAAGCGGGAGGUGGGUGUGGUCUGGUAGGGGGGCCGAGACCGUGCUCAGAUGGCUGAUUCGGCACAUAGUUGUAACGCGUGCCGGCGGCCGCCUCGCGCCACGCGGUGUUUUGUUGGGCGCAGGCCAGCGGAGGGGGGAGAGUAGAGUUGAAUUCGAGCGCGUGUUGAGUAGCAGAGAAGGGGGGCGCGUGGG
rnacentral:misc_RNA from 1 species